rnacentral:rRNA from 1 species
CAAGUCGAACGCGCAGUUUUCUGUAGCAAUACAGGAAACGGGCGCGUGGCGAACGGGUGCGUAACACGUGGAUAACCUUCCUUCAGGUGGGGAAUAACCCAGUGAAAAUUGGGCUAAUACCGCAUAACAUGACGAUGGCACAUGCCGUUGUCUUCAAAGCCGCAAGGCGCCAGAUGAGGGAUCCGCGGCCGAUUAGCUUGUUGGCGAGGUAAUGGCUCACCAAGGCAAUGGUCGGUAGCCGGACUGAGAGGUUGGCCGGCCACACUGGAACUGAGACACGGUCCAGACUCCUACGGGAGGCAGCAGUGGGGAAUCUUGCGCAAUGGGCGAAAGCCUGACGCAGCAACGCCGCGUGGGGGAUGAAGCUUCUCGGAGUGUAAACCCCUUUCGACCCGGACGAAUGCCCGCAAGGGUUUGACGGUACGGGUAUAAGAAGCCCCGGCUAACUACGUGCCAGCAGCCGCGGUAAAACGUAGGGGGCCAGCGUUGCUCGGAAUUACUGGGCGUAAAGGGUCCGUAGGCGGUGCGGCAAGUCGGAAGUGAAAUCUCUGGGCUUAACUCAGAGGCUGCUCCCGAAACUGCUGUGCUAGAGUGCGAGAGAGGCGAGUGGAAUUGCGGGUGUAGCGGUGAAAUGCGUAGAUAUCCGCAGGAACAUCCGAGGCGAAAGCGGCUCGCUGGAUCGCAACUGACGCUGAGGGACGAAAGCUAGGGGAGCAAACAGGAUUAGAUACCCUGGUAGUCCUAGCCCUAAACCAUCAGGACUUGGGGUUUGCCCUGUACGGGGCAAGUCCCGUAGCUAACGCGUUAAGUCCUGCGCCUGGGGAGUACGGUCGCAAGGCUGAAACUCAAAGGAAUU